GACGAACGCUGGCGGCGUGCUUAACACAUGCAAGUCGAACGGAAAGGCCCUGCUUUUGUGGUGUGCUCGAGUGGCGAACGGGUGAGUAACACGUGAGUAACCUGCCCUUGACUUUGGGAUAACUUCAGGAAACUGGGGCUAAUACCGGAUAGGAGCUCCUGCUGCAUGGUGGGGGUUGGAAAGUUUCGGCGGUUGGGGAUGGACUCGCGGCUUAUCAGCUUGUUGGUGGGGUAGUGGCUUACCAAGGCUUUGACGGGUAGCCGGCAUGAGAGGGGGAACGGCGACAAUGGGACUGAGGUACGGCCCAGACUCCUACGGGAGGCAGCAGGGGGGAAUAUUACACAAUGGGCGGAAGCCUGAUGCAGCAACGCCGCGUGCGGGAUGACGGCCUUCGGGUUGUAAACCGCUUUCGCCUGUGACGAAGCGUGAGUGACGGUAAUGGGUAAAGAAGCACCGGCUAACUACGUG
rnacentral:rRNA from 1 species